CUUCCGCCGGCGACCGGCGCACGGGUGAGUAACACGUAUGCAACCUGCCCCUGUCAGGGGGACAACCCGCCGAAAGGCGGGCUAAACCCGCGUACAUGCCACCGGGGCAUCCCGGUGGCAGGAAAGGCUUCGGCCGGACAGGGAUGGGCAUGCGGCGCAUUAGGCAGUAGGCGGGGUAACGGCCCACCUAACCGACGAUGCGUAGGGGUUCUGAGAGGAAGGUCCCCCACACUGGUACUGAGACACGGACCAGACUCCUACGGAAGGCAGCAG
rnacentral:rRNA from 1 species